rnacentral:rRNA from 1 species
CAGUCGUACCGGCGGAUAAUCAGCCUUUCGGGUGCGAUUCUGUGGGGCGUGAGGAGCUUAACCGCCUUCAUGUUUUGCAUAUUCGUGCACAUUUGGUGUACUUGUCCGUGUGGUGGGUUAACAUCAAUUUCGGUCGUCAUAAAAUGACUGGAGGAAUGUAGCUUUGGUCUCGUAUCGAAGUGCUAUAGACUCUGGUAGAUGUGACGUAUGGGAUUGAGGUAUUGC